CGUGGUGCUGGUCGAGUGGAGCAUGCAGGUGCCGGAGGCUCCUGGGGAGUCGGUGGACGGGGUGGCUGUGGGGUUCGACGCCGCGGGCCACGA
rnacentral:tRNA from 1 species